GGAGCUAACCUUGAUUGCUUUUCAUUUCUAUGAGUUUCUGAUCCAUGAACAUGUUGUGAUUAUGAAUAUAUUUUUGUUUUUGGAAUAAGAUUAUGCUUUUGAUCUAUAUUUGAAUAGGGGAAAGGUUUUGGAAUGAAGAUACGCUUGUGUUUUGGUGAUUUUGAACCUGUUUAUGAGUUUUGAAUGAGAUUAUGUGCAUGUUAUGCAUUUUGAAUCGGUGAAUGAUUUUAGAACAAGAUUAUGCUUCCGUUUUUGGUUGGAUUGUUAUGAGAAGAUGCUGUUGGUUCUAAUGGUUUAUUGUCUCGGGUGUUGGGAGCUGUUUUGUGAUGUUUUCUGAUGGGAAUGGUUUUUGUAUUUGAUGCAUCUAAUGUAUGUGAACAUGUGGUAUUGUCUGUUUGAGACUGCAUUGUAUGAUUAUGUUGUUUUGAUGCAUCAAAUGAUCAUGAAAUUGUUAUAUGGUAUGUGUGAGACUGUUAUGUGAUAUGAGGAAACUGUGAUGUGUAUGCUAUGGUGUUGCGAUGUUGUUAUAUGCAUGUUAAGCAUGAUUGAAUUGUGCUAUGUGAGUGCACUGUGAAUAUGACAUGAUUUGGUAUGAGAUAUGUGGUAUGUAUGUUGGCCUAGAAUGGUCUCGUUGUUUGAGUGGUGGACAAUAGCGUUGUGGUUGUCGGCUCUGAUAAGCUCACUAGAUGAGUGGUGGGAACUUCCCUGAUAAGCUCUUUAGAUAAGUGGUGGGAGGCAACCCUACACAUCGAGGGAGGUGUGUAUCGGCCCUGAUAAGCUCUUAUAUAUAGAGUGAUGGGAGUGAUGCAGAGUGUUGGUCUUAAUAAGCUCAUUACAAUUGGGAUGAUGUUACUGAUAAGCUCACUAGAUAAAUGGUGGGAGUUGCGCUAAUAAACUCUAUAGGCGAGCGGUGGGAAGCAAUCACUACACAUUGGAGUUAUUGGCCAUACAACAACAAGGACCUAGAGCUAUUGGCUUUUUUGGAACACGGAACAUGGAAUUCAUUUUGAGAUUCUUGUUAUAACUAAAAAUCAUAUAUAUACAUAUCUGGAGCAUCUGGGACUAAUGCUGCUGUUAUCCGAGGUGGCAGAGAAACCAGAGUUGCUUAGAGUUAUAUUACCACAAAGUUUAAGCAAACAGCCUCCCGAAA